GUUGUGGCUCAGUGGUAGAGUGCUUACCUAGCAUGCAUAAAGCUCUGGGUUCGAUCCUUAGCACCACA
rnacentral:tRNA from 1 species